UACAGAGGUCUCAAGCGUUGUUCGGAUUCAUUGGGCGUAAAGGGUGCGUAGGCGGCGCGGUAAGUCGGGUGUGAAAUCUCGGAACUUUAACUCCGAAACUGCAUUCGAUACUGCCGUGCUUGAGGACUGGAGAGGAGACUGGAAUUUACGGUGUAGCGGUGAAAUGCGUAGAUAUCGUAAGGAAGACCAGUGGCGAAGGCGGGUCUCUGGACAGUUCCUGACGCUGAGGCACGAAGGUCAGGGGGAGCAAACGGG
rnacentral:rRNA from 1 species